ACAUUGUCCAGAGCUUACAUCACGAAGCAGCGUCCUGUGAAGAGGCUGGGUCUGAAGAGCACAUGAGGCAGAGAAUGUGCAUUGUCAAGUUGAUUUAUACUUAGAAGAGUCAGCAACAGAUUGUUGGCACCAUGAAUCAUGGCUUAAAGAUCUUUGCAUCGCAGGAAGAAGGGCUCCUUCGGCAUCUGAGGGUUUCAACUCUUUGGCUCCUUCAGUGAGGUCUUUCAUGUGGGAAAGUGAUCAUGAAAAAUGCCACCUUUCUUUGGAAGGGGCUCCUCUGAGAUUCUAAAAUAUUUGAAUUCACCUUAAAAGGGAAAGAUGGGCAUUCUGGCCUUGAUUUGUCUGCAGACCUCACCACCUUGACAGAUGUGUACAGAGUUGUGAUCUUGGCACUGGUGCAAUCGUCGCAGUCCCCUGAGCUGAGACUGAGUCCUCCGUGGAAAGGAGAGAAGGUGACAGGCGGCUUGGCUCAAGGACACAGAGCUAAGGGAUGAGGGCAUGUACUUUCUGGAACCUUCGCAGCAAAUGGCUGGUCCUAGGACAAAACCUGUCAUCAAAGUCCGUUGCUCAGAGCUGCUCCAGGUGGCGUCUCUCUCCCCAGACACCGUUCCCGCACACAGCGGCACAGGAUCCCAGGGCAACGUGUGCUGCCUUUCUCUAAAGCACCGUGCAAACUGAAGGUUAUCUCUCCUGCUCUGUGAAGUCUGUCUGUCCUUGGAUCAGAACAAUGUAAGGAUUGUGGAUAUAAUUGCCCUGCACACCGGCAUCCGGCCUUACUUACUGAUGAGGUGUGUGACCGUCUCACUGUUUACCCUUCAUCUUGUAUCUGUUGUUUUUGGUGUUUUUUAAUCCCGGGUAGCUUUCACAUUUUUCUCCUUAUCCUUGUAUUUUGCAGUUUGUUAUGCUCUGUCUUCACAGGAAUUGGUUUCUAUUUAUCCUGUCUAGGACUUGAGGAUAUUUUAAAAUCACACCACAUAUAUCCUUCAAUUCUGGAAAAAUUUCAGGCAUUAUCUCUGCAAAUAUUGACUAUUCCAGAGUCUCACCGUUCUCUUUCUAGAACUUCUAUGAGGUGCAUAUUUAAGCACCUCAUCUUGUUCUGUCUGUCUCUUAAUUUCUCAUAUGUGUUUCCAUUUCUUUAUCUCACUGUGCUGCAGGCUGGCGAGUUUUCAGGUUUCUUCCCCCAGUUUUCUGCAGUCAUGCAUCACUUAAUGAUGGGAAUAUGUUCUGAGAAAUGCAUCGUCAGAUGAUUUUGUCAUUGUGUGAACAUCAGAGCGCAUACUUACACAGACCUGGAUGGUGUGGCCUCCUACACCCCUAGGCUGUGUGGUUUAGCCUCUUGCCCAGGCUACAAACCUAGACAGCAUGUGACUGCACUGAAUACUGUAGGCAAGUGUAACACAAUGGGAAGUAUUUGUGUAUCUAAACAUAGAAAAGGCAUAGCAAAAACAGUGUUGGCCAGGCGCAGUGCCUCACGCCUGUAAUCCCAACACUUUGGGAGGCCGAGGAGCGUGGAUCACGAGGUCAGGAGUUUGAGACCAGCCUGGCCAAUAUGGUGAAACCCCAUCUCUACUAAAAAUACAAAAAUUAGCCAGGGGUAGUGGGGCGUGCCUGUAGUCCCAGCUACUUGGGAGGCUGAGGAUGCAGGAGAAUCGCUUGAACUUGGGAGGCAGAGGUUGCAGUGAGCCAAGAUCACGCCACUGCACUCCAGCUGGGUGACAGAGCAAGACUCCAUCUAAAACAAAACAACAAAACAAAACAAAAAACAUAGUGUAAAAUAUGAAAAAGAAGGCAUCUGUUGUCUAGGGCACGUACUGUGAGUGGAGCUGGCAGGACUGGGAGUUGCUCUGGGUGAGUCCGUGAGUGAGGAGUGGUGAAUGUGAAGGUCUACACUGCUGAAGUCUUUAUAGACACUGCACACUUAGGCUCAACUACAUUUAUAAAAAUAUUUUUUUCUUCAAUAAUAAAUUAACCUGAACUUGCUGUAACUUUUUAACUUUAUAAACUCUUAUUUUUUAACCAUUUUGACUCUUGUGUAAUAACACUUAGCUUAAAACACAAACACAUUUUAUAGCUCUACAAAAGUAUUUUCUUUGUUUAUAUUCUUAUUCUAUAAGCUUCUUUCUGCUUAAAAAAUUUUUACUUUAAUUUUUCACUUUUUAAACUUUUGUGCUAAAAAUCAAGCCACCACACAUCAGCCUAGGCUUACACAGGGUCAGGGUCAUCCAUACCAUUGUCUUCCACCUCCACCUCUUGUUCCACUGGAGGGUCUUCAGGGCAAUAACACGCAUAGAGCUGUCACCUCCUAUGAUGACAAUGUCAUCCUCUGGAUACCUCCUGCAGGACCCACUGAGGCUGUUUUACAGGUAACUAUUUUUCUAUUUUUUAACAAAUGGAAGGAAUAUACUCUAAAAAAAUGACUCAAAGUAUGGUACAGUAACUACAUAAACCAGUAACAUCAUCAUUUAUUAUCAUUAUAAGUAUUACGGGAUGCACAUAAUUCUAUGUGCUAGACUUUUAGACAACUGGCAUGCAGUAGGUUUGUUUAUACCACAAACACGUGAGGAAUGUGCGGUGCCACCGACAUCACCAGGUGAUAGGAGUUUUCAGCUCCAUUAUCCUCUUCCGGGAGCACAGUCACACAUGCGGUCCUCAUCCCGUGCAUGACUGGGCUUCCCUCUUCAGCGACAUCGCGGCAACUCUUGGAGGUUUCUUUUUAGCUCUUAUAAACCUAGGAUUCCUUCUUAAUUAUUUUUCAUGUUUGCUGAUUCUUAUUUCAUAAUUGCCUAUUCUUGCUUUACGGAUUUUUGUAGUUUGAAUGUAUGUAUCCCCCCAAAAUUCUUGUAUUGGAGCUUGACUCUCAAGGGGUUGCUAUGAAGAGUUGGGGCCCUUGGGAGGUGAUAGGCCAAGAGGACUCCAGUCUCAUGAACGGAAUUAAUGUCCUUAUAAAAUAGACUUCAGAGAACUGCCUCCCGCUUCCACUCUGCUGGCAUGUGAGGACACAGCCUUCGGUCCCCUCGCCACGUGAGAGAGAAUCCCCUCGCCAAGUGAGAGAGAACACGGCGUUUGUCCUCUCCACAGGGCACAGCAGCAACAAGGCCCCAUCUUGGAAGCAGAGGGCAGCCCUCACCAGACACCAAGUUUACUGGCCCUUGAUCUUGGACUUCUCAGCCUCCAGAACUGGGAGAAAUAAAUUCCCAUUGUUUAUAAAUUACCCAGUACAUGAAAUUUUGUUACAGCCGCAGGAAUGGACUCUUUCCCUUCCUUUAGCUCUUUGAAUAUUUAAAGUAUUUUUAGUUUACAGUUUCAUUCAGAUUAUUCUAUUAACUUUAGUUCCUGGGGUACAAAUAUUCCCAUUCUGGGGCAAUGGACCCUGUGGUCUAUUUUAGUUGACACUGGGCUCAGCUGUAGCUACUUCUCAUCCGUGAGCGUGGUUGUCAGCCUGCUGUCUCCACACCCUGAGCACAGAAGUGUAACUUUGGGCCUCACACCUGCCCACAGCACAGGCUGAGCUUCUUCUCACUUUACAGCCUUUUAAAGGAUUUCUGCUUCCAGGCUAUGACCUGUGGCCAAAACACAGAUUUUCUGCUCCCUCCCUGCUCAUGCCUGGAAACUUCCAAACUCUCCUCUCCUAGAUUCAAACAAGAAGAGAAAUUCCGGAUUCUUUCUUCUCAUGGACAUUUGAACCCCUCCUACUGUGAGAACUCCAGCCCACCUGCACACCCUCCUUGGAGCACACCACUGGGACUCCUGUUCACUGCUCCAGCUGAGAGCUCCCUCUUGAUUUCUGGGAACUGGUUUCCCUUUCUUGCUUUUUUGUCUUGGCUCAAUUUUUAAAUUUAAAGAACAGGUGCAGUGGCUCACACCUGUAAUCCCAGCACUUUGGGAGGCCAAGACAGAAGGAUCCUUUGAAGCCAGGAGUUUGAAACAAGCCCGGAUAACACAGCAAGACUCCAUCUCUACAAAAAAAAAUAAUUAUCUGGGUGUGGUAGCAUGCACCUGCGGCCCCAGCUACUCAGCAUGCUAAGCUGAGAGAAUCACUUUAGCCCAGAAUUGGAGUCUGCAGUGAGUUAUGAUGGCACCACUGCACUCCAGCCUGGGAGACAGAGCAAGACCAUCUCAAAAUAAAUAAAUUUAGAUCAGCAGUUUUAAGUGUUUGGAGAAGACUGGACAAAUCUCAUGACUGUUGGAUCCUUUGUAAUGACUAUAAAUCUACUUAAUUUUUGUGGAUUCAAAAGUGUUGUAACAUCCAGUUGGGCUAGGCUUCCUCCAUCUCUUCCUUCUCUUCACUUUCCACUCUUUCCUUUCUUGUCUUUCUUUUCCUUUCCUUAUUUGUUGAAGCCAUUUUCACAUGACUUCCAAAUGCACUUAUUUUCCUGAAGUUAGAGAAAUCCUAUAGGAAUUUUAAUUUGAAUUAAGGAAUUUGUAAGUUUGUAAUAUUUAGUCUUCUUAUCUAGAAACAUGCUGUAGGAAACUGUGUUUCCUGUCCACUCCUCUUUAUCUUCUCUUAUCCUUCCUUAUUUUGUGAAGUUAAAAUCCUGUAGGAAUUUUAAUUUGAAUUAAGGAAUUUGUAUGUUUGUAAUAUUUAGUCUUAUCUAAAAGCAUAGUGUAAUAAAUUUUGUUUCCUGCUCAGU